UGGGGAAUUUUGGACAAUGGGCGCAAGCCUGAUCCAGCAAUGCCGCGUGAGUGAAGAAGGCCUUCGGGUUGUAAAGCUCUUUCAGUCGAGAAGAAAAGGCUGCAGUGAAUAACUGUAGUUUAUGACGGUAUCGACAGAAGAAGCACCGGCUAACUACGUGCCAGCAGCCGCGGUAAUACGUAGGGUGCGAGCGUUAAUCGGAAUUACUGGGCGUAAAGGGUGCGCAGGCGGUUUUGUAAGUCAGAUGUGAAAUCCCCGGGCUUAACCUGGGAAUUGCGUUUGAAACUACAAGACUAGAGUGUGGCAGAGGGAGGUGGAAUUCCAUGUGUAGCAGUGAAAUGCGUAGAGAUAUGGAAGAACAUCGAUGGCGAAGGCAGCCUCCUGGGUUAACACUGACGCUCAUGCACGAAAGCGUGGGGAGCAAACAGGAUUAGAUACCCUGGUAGUCCACGCCCUAAACGAUGUCAACUAGUUGUCGGGCCUUACUAGGCUUGGUAACGAAGCUAACGCGUGAAG
rnacentral:rRNA from 1 species